rnacentral:rRNA from 1 species
CCUACGGGAGGCUGCAGUGAGGAAUAUUGGUCAAUGGACGAGAGUCUGAACCAGCCAAGUAGCGUGAAGGAUGACUGCCCUAUGGGUUGUAAACUUCUUUUAUAUGGGAAUAAAAUGUUCCACGUGUGGGAUUUUGUAUGUACCAUAUGAAUAAGGAUCGGCUAACUCCGUGCCAGCAGCCGCGGUAAUACGGAGGAUCCGAGCGUUAUCCGGAUUUAUUGGGUUUAAAGGGAGCGUAGGUGGAUUGUUAAGUCAGUGGUGAAAGUUUGCGGCUCAACCGUAAAAUUGCAGUUGAAACUGGCAGUCUUGAGUACAGUAGAGGUGGGCGGAAUGCGUGGUGUAGCGGUGAAAUGCUUAGAUAUCACGAAGAACUCCGAUUGCGAAGGCAGCUCACUGGACUGCAACUGACACUGAGGCACGAAAGUGGGGGGAUCAAACAGGAUUAGAUACCCCAGUAGUC